GACGAACGCUGGCGGCGUGCUUAACACAUGCAAGUCGAACGGUAAGGCCCUUCGGGGUACACGAGUGGCGAACGGGUGAGUAACACGUGGGUGAUCUGCCCUGCACUUCGGGAUAAGCCUGGGAAACUGGGUCGAAUACCGGAUAGGACUCCGGACUGCAUGGUCUGGGGUGGAAAGCUUUUGCGGUGUGGGAUGGGCCCGCGGCCUAUCAGCUUGUUGGUGGGGUGAUGGCCUACCAAGGCGACGACGGGUAGCCGGCCUGAGAGGGUGACCGGCCACACUGGGACUGAGAUACGGCCCAGACUCCUACGGGAGGCAGCAGUGGGGAAUAUUGCACAAUGGGCGCAAGCCUGAUGCAGCGACGCCGCGUGAGGGAUGACGGCCUUCGGGUUGUAAACCUCUUUCAGCAUCGACGAAGCGAAAGUGACGGUAGGUGCAGAAGAAGGACCGGCCAACUCCGUUCCAGCCGCCGCCGUAA
rnacentral:rRNA from 1 species